AUUGAACGCUGGCGGCGUGCUUUACACAUGCAAGUCGAACGGUAACAGGCCGCAAGGUGCUGACGAGUGGCGAACGGGUGAGUAAUGCAUCGGAACGUGCCCAGUCGUGGGGGAUAACGCAGCGAAAGCUGUGCUAAUACCGCAUACGAUCUAUGGAUGAAAGCGGGGGACCGUAAGGCCUCGCGCGAUUGGAGCGGCCGAUGUCAGAUUAGGUAGUUGGUGGGGUAAAGGCCUACCAAGCCGACGAUCUGUAGCUGGUGUGAGAGGACGACCAGCCACACUGGGACUGAGACACGGCCCAGACUCCUACGGGAGGCAGCAGUGGGGAAUUUUGGACAAGGGGCGCAAGCCUGAUCCAGCAAUGCCGCGUGCAGGAAGAAGGCCUUCGGGUUGUAAACUGCUUUUGUACGGAACGAAACGGUCUGGGUUAAUACCCUGGGCUAAUGACGGUACCGUAAGAAUAAGCACCGGCUAACUACGUGCCAGCCGCCGCGGUAAUAC
rnacentral:rRNA from 1 species